UGAUGGAUGGACCCGCGGUGCAUUAGCUAGUUGGUGAGGUAACGGCUCACCAAGGCCACGAUGCAUAGCCGACCUGAGAGGGUGAUCGGCCACACUGGGACUGAGACACGGCCCAGACUCCUACGGGAGGCAGCAGUAGGGAAUCUUCGGCAAUGGACGAAAGUCUGACCGAGCAACGCCGCGUGAGUGAAGAAGGUUUUCGGAUCGUAAAACUCUGUUGUUAGAGAAGAACAAGGACGUUAGUAACUGAACGUCCCCUGACGGUAUCUAACCAGAAAGCCACGGCUAACUACGUGCCAGCAGCCGCGG
rnacentral:rRNA from 1 species